rnacentral:tRNA from 1 species
AUUCAAUUAGUUUAAGCAAAAACAUUAAAUUGUGGAUUUAAAAAUAUAAUUUGUAUUGGAUC